AACGAACGCUGGCGGCAUGCCUAACACAUGCAAGUCGAACGAGACCUUCGGGUCUAGUGGCGCACGGGUGCGUAACGCGUGGGAACCUGCCCUUAGGUUCGGAAUAACUCCCCGAAAGGGGUGCUAAUACCGGAUAAUGUCUUCGGACCAAAGAUUUAUCGCCUUUGGAUGGGCCCGCGUUGGAUUAGCUAGUUGGUAGGGUAAAAGCCUACCAAGGCGACGAUCCAUAGCUGGUCUGAGAGGAUGAUCAGCCACACUGGGACUGAGACACGGCCCAGACUCCUACGGGAGGCAGCAGUGGGGAAUAUUGGACAAUGGGCGAAAGCCUGAUCUAGCAAUGCCGCGUGAGUGAUGAAGGCCUGAGGGUUGUAAAGCUCUUUUACCCGGGAUGAUAAUGACAGUACCGGGAGAAUAAGCUCCGGCUAACUCCGUG
rnacentral:rRNA from 1 species